CAACUACGUGCCAGCAGCCGCGGUAAGACGUAGGGCGCGAGCGUUGUCCGGAUUUAUUGGGCGUAAAGAGCUCGUAGGCGGCUUGUCGCGUCGACUGUGAAAACCCACAGCUCAACUGUGGGCUUGCAGUCGAUACGGGCAGGCUAGAGUUCGGUAGGGGAGACUGGAAUUCCUGGUGUAGCGGUGAAAUGCGCAGAUAUCAGGAGGAACACCGGUGGCGAAGGCGGGUCUCUGGGCCGAUACUGACGCUGAGGAGCGAAAGCGUGGGGAGCGAACAGGAUUAGAUACCCUGGUAGUCCACGCUGUAAACGUUGGGCGCUAGGUGUGGGGGGCCUCUCCGGUUCUCUGUGCCGCAGCUAACGCAUUAAGCGCCCCGCCUGGGGAGUACGGCCGCAAGGCUAAAACUCAAAGGAAUUGACGGGGGCCCGCACAAGCGGCGGAGCAUGCGGAUUAAUUCGAUGCAACGCGAAGAACCUUACCUGGGUUUGACAUGGCCGCAAAACCUGCAGAGAUGUGGGGUCCUUCGGGGGCGGU
rnacentral:rRNA from 1 species